AUUUUAAUAGCUUAAAUAUUAGAGCUAAGUAUUGAAGAUACUUUCGUGAGAUUUCUCUUAGAAUA
rnacentral:tRNA from 1 species